UACGUAGGGACCAAGCGUUGUUCGGAUUUACUGGGCGUAAAGGGCGCGUAGGCGGCGCGGUAAGUCACUUGUGAAAUCUCUGAGCUUAACUCGGAACGGUCAAGUGAAACUGUCAUGCUAGAGUGCAGAAGGGGCAAUCGGAAUUCUUGGUGUAGCGGUGAAAUGCGUAGAUAUCGGAAGGAACACCAGUGGCGAAAGCGGCUUCCUGGUCCAGCAUCGACGUUCAGGCACGAAAGCGUGGGGAGCAAACAGG
rnacentral:rRNA from 1 species